UACGUAGGUGGCAAGCGUUGUCCGGAAUCACUGGGCGUAAAGCGCGCGCAGGCGGCGAUCUACGUCUGGGGUGAAAGCCCGGAGCUCAACUCCGGGACUGCCUUGGAUACGGGAUCGCUUGAGGAUUGGAGAGGCAAGGGGAAUUCCACGUGUAGCGGUGAAAUGCGUAGAUAUGUGGAGGAACACCAGUGGCGAAGGCGACUUUCUGGCCUAUAACUGACGCUGAGGCGCGAAAGCGUGGGGAGCAAACAGG
rnacentral:rRNA from 1 species